GAUUUCAACUGAAAAAGUCAUCAACAACAAAUUGUAUAACUCAUCAAGAUCUAUAAAUUUUAUUUUAAUCAUUUCUUCAUCCCACAAAGUUAUUUUUAAGAUUGUUCACAAAAUGUACAUCUCUUAUAUAGUUUUAUAAAAACUAUAUAAGAGAUGUUUAUUUUGUGAACAAUCUUACAAAGUUAUAAAACUAUAUAAGAGAUGUUUAUUUUGUGAACAAUCUUACAAAUAACUUUGUUGGAUGAAGAAAUGAUUAUAAUAAAAUUUAUAGAUCUUGAUGAGUUAUACAACUUUGUUGUUGAUGACUUUUUCAGUUGAAAUC
rnacentral:pre_miRNA from 2 species